rnacentral:rRNA from 1 species
AGAGCGAACGCUGGCGGCAGGCCUAAUACAUGCAAGUCGAACGCACCUUCGGGUGAGUGGCGGACGGGUGAGUAACACGUGGGAACGUGCCUUUUGGUUCGGAAUAAUCCGGGGAAACCUGGCCUAAUACCGGAUGUGCCCUUCGGGGGAAAGAUUUAUCGCCAUUAGAGCGGCCCGCGUCUGAUUAGCUUGUUGGUGGGGUAAUGGCCCACCAAGGCUACGAUCAGUAGCUGGUCUGAGAGGAUGAUCAGCCACACUGGGACUGAGACACGGCCCAGACUCCUACGGGAGGCAGCAGUAGGGAAUCUUGCGCAAUGGGCGAAAGCCUGACGCAGCGACGCCGCGUGGGGGAUGAAGGCCUUCGGGUUGUAAACCCUUUCAGCAGGGACGAAUUCAGACGGUACCUGCAGAAGAAGCGCCGGCUAACUACGUGCCAGCAGCCGC